CAAGACAUGUGAGUUUCUCUAGGAAAAACUUCAUUUGCUCAAGUUCUCCAACUUCUCCUCCAUACUCAGUUAUCUUCAGUACUUUCACAGGUGAAAAUUCAUACUCUCGUUCAGCAUUAUCAGCUUGCAUUGGACCCUGAAACAAGGUUAGAGAUUUAGAGCUUGUCCCAUUAAAGUAACUUUCAAGGGUGUGGUUUUCGGUAAUUACAUUGAUGACAAGAAUCUAUAAAUUUGGAGACUUGUUUAAAAGUAGUGGCAGAAACUCUCAGUCAUAGCUUGGGAAAUCAAUUGUAAUAAUUAAGCGGGACAGGCUGAUAAACACUAGAACUGCUUCACGCCGAGAACAAAAUGCCUGACAAAAGAAAAAAAAAAGUCUAAUCAUCACCAGCUUCUUCAUCUGGCGAUGUUGAAAAGGAUAUUGCACAAAAAAUGCAUGGUUUAAAAAAAAAAUUAUUGGAGUUACGAAAUGUAGCGUGCUUGGGCUAACAAAUUGUGUGUUAAUUAAGAAAACAUACAUUAAACUAGGUUCGACUUAAUUCAGAACAUUUUAACAAACAAACAGACGUUAAACUAGGUUCGAUUUAAUUUCAGAACACUUAAACAAGCAAAUAUUAUCAUAAGAUUUGAGUUUAGGAAAGAAACAUUGGGUUAAAAACUUACUACUCCGGUAAUCAUAAUGGUUUAAAUCAGGAGAAACAAGAAAGAGAUCAAUAUCUCCUCCCAAAAUUUUCUACCAUCUCUUAUUUCCUUAGAUAUUUGUGUUCCUCCU
rnacentral:lncRNA from 1 species